rnacentral:rRNA from 1 species
UACGGAGGGUGCGAGCGUUAAUCGGAAUAACUGGGCGUAAAGGGUGCGUAGGUGGUUGAUUAAGGUUGUUGGUGAAAUUCCUGGGCUUAACCUGGGGUUGACGAAUAAAACUGAUUAACUCGAGUAUAGGAGAGGGUAGUGGAAUUUCCGGUGUAGCGGUGAAAUGCGUAGAGAUCGGAAGGAACACCAGUUGCGAAGGCGGCUACCUGGCCUGGUACUGACACUGAGGCACGAAAGCGUGGGGAGCAAACAGGG